GAAAAAUCGUGUAGGCCUUUGGGCUGCACGAUUUGAAAUCGUGCAGCCCAAAGGCCUACACGAUUUUUC
rnacentral:pre_miRNA from 1 species